AUACGGAGGGUGCAAGCGUUAUCCGGAAUCACUGGGUUUAAAGGGUGCGUAGGCGGUUAGAUAAGUCAGUAGUGAAAGCUCACAGCUCAACUGUGGAAUUGCUAUUGAAACUGUCUGACUAGAAUUAGGGAGAAGUAGGCGGAAUGUGACAUGUAGCGGUGAAAUGCAUAGAUAUGUCAUAGAACACCAAAUGCGAAGGCAGCUUACUAUACCUAUAUUGACGCUGAGGCACGAAAGCGUGGGGAGCGAACAGGAUUAGAAACCCUAGUAGUCC
rnacentral:rRNA from 1 species